UUAACUAUUAUAUAGUACUCAGACGACACUAAUAUUUAGAGUUUGGGGUCCUCUGGCGAGCACUCACCAGCGUGAGCCGGUGGCCGAAGCGGCUCGCCAAAGCAACAAAGGUACAAUAACAUAGGGUUGGAGAGUCACCCGUGAGGGCGAUGUUCUCUGUAAUGAUCCUUCCGCAGGUUCACCUACGGAAA
rnacentral:misc_RNA from 1 species